GGACCCGUCAGGGGAUUACCGCUGAGUUAAGAUAUCAAAUAAGCGGAGGAAAAGAAGCUACAAGGAUUACCUAGUAACGGCGAGCGAACGGAGAACAGCAGCAUUAGAAUAGACGGCCCCGCGGUUCGAAUUGUAGUCUGGAGAGCGUCCUCAGCGGCGGACCAGGGCACAAGUCCUGGAAAGGGGUCGGGAGGGUGAGAGCACGUCGUGCCGGACCUGUGCACACGGGCUGUCUACGAGUCGGGUUGUUUGGGAAUGGCACCAAUCGGGGGUGAAUUCCUCCAGGCUAAUACGCGAGAGAAGAUAAGCGAACAAUACCGCGAGGGAAAGAUGAAAAGGACUUGAAAAGGAGUCAAGAGUGUUGAAAUUUGUCGGAGGGAAGCGGAUGGAGACCGGCGAUGCGCCGGUAGUAUGUGGAACGUGAGGCGGUCCGCGAUUACUCGGGCGGCGGACGCAGCGAGGAUUCGGGCGGCCAAAAGCCCGGCCUUUGACUAGCGCGGAACGUUGUCUCUUGGAUCGUGGAGCAGGUAGCGCGCGCAGCUGGCGUGCUGGCACGUGGCGCGUGCGUCGUGGCCUGUGGGCUCUCAUUCGACCCGUCUUGAAACACGGACCAGGAGUCUGACAUGUGUGCGAGUCACGGCCGAGUAAACCGUAAGGCGGCGGAAGCUGAUUGGCGGAUCCCUCAGGGGUGCACCGCGACGACUUGAUCUUCUGAGAAGGGUUGAGUGCGGCAUACGCUGUCGGGACCGAAAGAUGGUGAACUAUGCCUGAGCGGGGCGAAGCAGAGGAAACUCUGGUGGAGGCGCAGCGAUACGCUGACGUGCAAAUCAGAUUCGUCUGACUUGGGUAUAGGGGCGAAAGCUAAUCGACACGGUCUAGUAGUGGUUAUCUGAAGUUUCGCGUCAGGAUAGCUGAGCUGGCGCGAGAGUUUAAUCGGUAAAGGCCAAUGAUUAGAGCAUCGGGGCGUAACGCCUCGACUCUUUCAAACUUUAAAUGGUAGGAGGCGGGCUCGUUCGUUGAGCCGCGCCACUGAUAAUCACAGCUCCAAGUGGAGAUUUUUGGUAGCGAACUGCGAUGCGGAUGAACCGGAAGCGAGGUUAGUGCCAAAUGCCGCUAACCUGAUCCCAAAGGUGUUGGUCAGUUAAAGACAGGCGGAGGUUGGUCAUGGAAGUCGAAAGUCGCUAAGGAGUGUGUACCAAUCACGCUGCGAAUCAACUAGCCGAAAUGCAUGGCGGCUAGAAGCGGCGCGCCUAUACCCGGCGGUCCGGGCAGAGUAGGGCCCGAUGAGCUGGGAGGGCCAACGGGGCGGUGCGUGGGGCAAACCUUGGGCGCGAGCCCUGGGCGGAGCGACGGUCGGUGGAGAUAUUGGUGGUAGUAGCAAAUAUUCAUGAGAACUUUGAAGGCGCGAAGAGGGGAAGGUUCCAAUGUGAACGGGGACAUUGCACAUGUUAGUCGAUCCUAGGGUCGGGGGAAGCGAAGACAGCGGUUUGCGCGUGCGCGAAAGGGAAUCGGGUUAAAUUCCUGAAGGGAGUGGCGGUUGACGGCACGUUAGGGAUUCGUGAGACGUCGGCGGGGCUCGGGAAGAGUUUCUUUCUGUUAACACUGCACUGGACAACGUCAGCGGCGUAGGGUCCAGCGGUUGAAGAGACAAUCGGUGGUGUCCGUCGCCCCGGCGCCCUUGAAAAUGCGGAGGAGGAAGUGCCGUCCACGCCGGUAGUACUAUACCGCAUCAGGUCUAAAGGUGAACAGGCCUCCUGGCCAUGAAAUGUAGGCAAGGGAGGUCGGCAAAUGGAUUCGUAACUUCGGGAAAGGAUUGGCUGGUGAGGUGGGCAGGGUCGCAGUCCGAAACCGUCGGCUGUUUCGCGAUGGCUCGAGCUGUUUCUUUUUUUUUUUUUUUAUCUAACCGCGGGAGGCGGGUGACGGGCGUGCGGCCG
rfam:Ipomoea nil DNA, scaffold: scaffold1200, cultivar: Tokyo-kokei standard.